AACGCGAAGAACCUUACCUGGGCUUGACAUUUAGGGAAAAGCCGUAGAGAUACGGUGUCCUUCGGGGUCCUAAACAGGUGGUGCAUGGCUGUCGUCAGCUCGUGUCGUGAGAUGUUGGGUUAAGUCCCGCAACGAGCGCAACCCUUGUCCGAUGUUACCAGCGGGUUAUGCCGGGGACUCGUCGGAGACUGCCGGGGUCAACUCGGAGGAAGGUGGGGAUGACGUCAAGUCAUCAUGCCCCUUACGUCCAGGGCUGCACACAUGCUACAAUGGCCGGUACAACGGGCUGCUAUCCCGCGAGGGGGAGCCAAUCCCAAAAGCCGGUCUCAGUUCGGAUUGCAGUCUGCAACUCGACUGCAUGAAGUCGGAGUCGCUAGUAAUCCCGGAUCAGCAACGCCGGGGUGAAUACGUUCCCGGGCCUUGUA
rnacentral:rRNA from 1 species